UCUGGUUGAUCCUGCCGGUAGUCAUAUGCUUGUCUCAAAGAUUAAGCCAUGCAUGUCUAAGUAUAAAUAACUACACAGUGAAACUGCGAAUGGCUCAUUAAAACAGUUAUAGUUUAUUUGAUACAUUAAAUGGAUAACUGUAGAAAAACUAGAGCUAAUACAUGCCAAAACCGCAAGGUUGUAUUUAUUAGAUAUACCAGGUUGGUGAAUCAUAAUAACUUCGCAAAUCGCAGCUCUGCUGCGAUAAAUCAUUCAAGUUUCUGCCCUAUCAUGCUUUCGAUGGUAGUGUAUUGGACUACCAUGGCUCUCACGGGUAACGGGGAAUUAGGGUUCGAUUCCGGAGAAGGAGCCUGAGAAACGGCUACUACAUCUAAGGAAGGCAGCAGGCGCGUAAAUUACCCAAUCCUGACUCANGGAGGUAGUGACAAGAUAUAACGACGCGCCUAAAAAACGCGAUUGUAGUGAGGGUUUUCCAAACCGAACCACUAGUACGAUUGGAGGGCAAGUCUGGUGCCAGCAGCCGCGGUAAUUCCAGCUCCAAUAGCGUAUAUUAAAGUUGUUGCAGUUAAAAAGCUCGUAGUUGGAUUUCAAGGGUCGCAGCGUGGAUACACGUUUGCACCCUACCAGUCUUUGACUGGUACUGUNAGAAAAAUAGAGUGGUUUCAAGCAGGCUAUUGCAGGAAUACAUUANCAUG
rnacentral:rRNA from 1 species